rnacentral:snoRNA from 1 species
AUCAAAUGAUGAAAUACCAAUGCAACAGAGUCAAGCUCUGAGUUUCACAAAGAAACAUGGACGAGAUUGCUUUUUUAUUACUGAUC